rnacentral:snRNA from 1 species
AUCGCUUCUCGGCCUUUUGGCUAAGAUCAAGUGUAGUAUCUGUUCUUAUCAGUUAAUAUCUGAUACGUCCCCCAUCGGGGGACUAUACAUAUUAAAUGGAUUUUUCGAACAGGGAGUCGGAAGCGGGGCUUGCUCCGUCCGCUCCACGCAUCGACUCGGUAUUGCAGUACCUCCGAGAACGGUGCACCCUCU